rnacentral:rRNA from 1 species
GAGACAGCAGUCGCCACGGGAAUACAGAGGGUGCGAGCGUUAAUCGGAUUUACUGGGCGUAAAGCGUGCGUAGGCGGCUAAUUGAGUCGGAUGUGAAAUCCCCGAGCUUAACUUGGGAAUUGCAUUCGAUACUGGUUAGCUAGAGUGUGGGAGAGGAUGGUAGAAUUCCAGGUGUAGCGGUGAAAUGCGUAGAGAUCUGGAGGAAUACCGAUGGCGAAGGCAGCCAUCUGGCCUAACACUGACGCUGAGGUACGAAAGCAUGGGGAGCAAACAGGAUUAGAUACCCCUGUAGUCCCUGUCUCUUAUAC